rnacentral:rRNA from 1 species
UGAAGCCUUUCGGGGUGGAUUAGUGGCGAACGGGUGAGUAACACGUGGGCAAUCUGCCCUUCACUCUGGGACAAGCCCUGGAAACGGGGUCUAAUACCGGAUAACACUCUGUCCCGCAUGGGACGGGGUUAAAAGCUCCGGCGGUGAAGGAUGAGCCCGCGGCCUAUCAGCUUGUUGGUGGGGUAAUGGCCUACCAAGGCGACGACGGGUAGCCGGCCUGAGAGGGCGACCGGCCACACUGGGACUGAGACACGGCCCAGACUCCUACGGGAGGCAGCAGUGGGGAAUAUUGCACAAUGGGCGAAAGCCUGAUGCAGCGACGCCGCGUGAGGGAUGACGGCCUUCGGGUUGUAAACCUCUUUCAGCAGGGAAGAAGCGAAAGUGACGGUACCUGCAGAAGAAGCGCCGGCUAACUACGUGCCAGCAGCCGCGGUAAUACGUAGGGCGCAAGCGUUGUCCGGAAUUAUUGGGCGUAAAGAGCUCGUAGGCGGCUUGUCACGUCGGAUGUGAAAGCCCGGGGCUUAACCCCGGGUCUGCAUUCGAUACGGGCUAGCUAGAGUGUGGUAGGGGAGAUCGGAAUUCCUGGUGUAGCGGUGAAAUGCGCAGAUAUCAGGAGGAACACCGGUGGCGAAGGCGGAUCUCUGGGCCAUUACUGACGCUGAGGAGCGAAAGCGUGGGGAGCGAACAGGAUUAGAUACCCUGGUAGUCC